rnacentral:rRNA from 1 species
AGAGUUUGAUCCUGGCUCAGAACGAACGCUGGCGGCGUGCUUAACACAUGCAAGUCGAACGAGAAACCAGAGCUUGCUCUGGUGGACAGUGGCAGACGGGUGAGUAACGCGUGGGAAUUUACCCAGGGGUAGGGAACAACAGUUGGAAACGGCUGCUAAUACCGUAUACGCCCUCCGGGGGAAAGAUUUAUCGGUGAAAGAUCGGUCCGCGUUAGAUUAGCUAGUUGGUGGGGUAAUGGCUUACCAAGGCGACGAUCCGUAGCUGGUCUGAGAGGAUGAUCAGCCACACUGGGACUGAGACACGGCCCAGACUCCUACGAGAGGCAGCAGUGGGGAAUAUUGGACAAUGGGCGCAAGCCUGAUCCAGCCAUGCCGCGUGAAUGAUGAAGGCCUUAGGGUUGUAAAAUUCUUUCAGCAGGGAAGAUAAUGACGGUACCUGCGAAAGAAGCCCCGGCUAACUCCGUGCCAGCAGCCGCGGUAAUACGGACGGGGCUAGCGUUGUUCGGAAUUACUGGGCGUAAAGCGUACGUAGGCGGAUGGGUAAGUCAGAUGUGAAAUCCCAGGGCUCAACCCUGGAACUGCAUUUGAAACUGCCAAUCUAGAGUUCAGGAGAGGUAAGCGGAAUUCCGAGUGUAGAGGUGAAAUUCGUAGAUAUUCGGAGGAACACCAGAGGCGAAGGCGGCUUACUGGACUGACACUGACGCUGAGGUACGAAAGCGUGGGGAGCAAACAGGAUUAGAUACCCUGGUAGUCCUCGCCGUAAACGAUGAGAGCUAGUUGUCAGCAAGCAUGCUUGUUGGUGACGUAGCUAACGCAUUAAGCUCUCCGCCUGGGGAGUACGGUCGCAAGAUUAAAACUCAAAGAAAUUGACGGGGGCCCGCACAAGCGGUGGAGCAUGUGGUUUAAUUCGAAGCAACGCGCAGAACCUUACCUACCCUUGACAUACCAAUCGCGGUUUCUAGAGAUAGAUUCCUUCAGUUCGGCUGGAUUGGAUACAGGUGCUGCAUGGCUGUCGUCAGCUCGUGUCGUGAGAUGUUGGGUUAAGUCCCGCAACGAGCGCAACCCUCGCCUUUAGUUGCCAGCAUUUAGUUGGGCACUCUAGAGGGACUGCCGGUGAUAAGCCGGAGGAAGGUGGGGAUGACGUCAAGUCCUCAUGGCCCUUACGGGUAGGGCUACACACGUGCUACAAUGGCGGUGACAAUGGGCAGCGACCAAAAAUCCGUCUCAGUUCGGAUUGUUCUCUGCAACUCGAGAGCAUGAAGUUGGAAUCGCUAGUAAUCGUGGAACAGCAUGCCACGGUGAAUACGUUCCCGGGCCUUGUACACACCGCCCGUCACACCAUGGGAGUUGGUUCUACCCGAAGGUGGUGCGCUAACCAGUUUACUGGAAGCAGCCAACCACGGUAAGGUCAGCGACUGGGGUGAAGUCGUAACAAGGUAACC